GUGGGUAUAGCUCAGUGGUAGAGCACGUGCUUAGCAUGCACAAAGUCCUGGGUUCAAGCCCCAGUACCUCCA
rnacentral:tRNA from 1 species